GUGUCAGCCGCCGCGGUAAUACGGAGGGUGCGAGCGUUGUCCGGAAUCACUGGGCGUAAAGGGCGCGUAGGCGGCGCGGAAAGUCAACGGUGAAAGCUUGGGGCUCAACCCCGAGUCGGCCGUCGAUACUUCCGUGCUCGAGCACUGUAGAGGCAGGUGGAAUUCCGGGUGUAGCGGUGGAAUGCGUAGAGAUCCGGAAGAACACCGGUGGCGAAGGCGGCCCACUGGAUCGGUACUGACGCUGAGGUGCGAAAGCGUGGGGAGCAAACAGGAUUAGAUACCCGGGUGGUCCCAGCUGUAAACGAUGCAGACUCGGUGAUGGGCUGGCUUCGUGCCAACCCGGUGCCGCAGGGAAGCCGUUAAGUCUGCCGCCUGGGGAGUACGGUCGCAAGACUGAA
rnacentral:rRNA from 1 species